UGGGGAAUAUUGGACAAUGGGGGAAACCCUGAUCCAGCAAUGCCGCGUGAGUGAAGAAGGCCUUAGGGUUGUAAAGCUCUUUCGCCCGCGAAGAUAAUAACGGUAGCGGGAGAAGAAGCCCCGGCUAACUCCGUGCCAGCAGCCGCGGUAAUACGGAGGGGGCUAGCGUUGUUCGGAAUUACUGGGCGUAAAGCGUGCGCAGGCGGUUUUGUAAGACAGAUGUGAAAUCCCCGGGCUUAACCUGGGAACUGCGUUUGUGACUGCAAGGCUGGAGUACGGCAGAGGGGGGUGGAAUUCCACGUGUACCAGUGAAAUGCGUAGAGAUGUGGAGGAACACCGAUGGCGAAGGCAGCCCCCUGGGCCUGUACUGACGCUCAUGCACGAAAGCGUGGGGAGCAAACA
rnacentral:rRNA from 1 species